UACAGAGGUCCCGAGCGUUGUUCGGAUUCACUGGGCGUAAAGGGUGCGUAGGUGGUGAGGUAAGUCGGAUGUGAAAUCUCCGGGCUCAACCCGGAAACUGCAUUGGAAACUACCUUGCUUGAGGAUUGAGGGGGAUUGGAAUACUUGGUGUAGCAGUGAAAUGCGUAGAUAUCAAGUGGAACACCAGUGGCGAAGGCGAAUCCCUGGAAGUACCUGAACACUGAGGACACGAAAGCUAGG
rnacentral:rRNA from 1 species